rnacentral:rRNA from 1 species
UAGGGAAUUUUGCGCAAUGGGGGAAACCCUGACGCAGCAACGCCGCGUGAUUGAUGAAGCCCUUCGGGGUGUAAAGAUCUGUCAGCAGGGAAGAAAAAAUGACUGUACCUGCAGAGGAAGCACCGGCUAACUCCGUGCCAGCAGCCGCGGUAAUACGGGGGGUGCAAGCGUUGUCCGGAAUCAUUGGGCGUAAAGAGUUCGUAGGUGGCACGUAAAGUCUGGUGUUAAAGGCGGAAGCUCAACUUCCGUAGGGCACUGGAUACUUGCGAGCUAGAAUGCGGUAGAGGUAAAGGGAAUUCCUGGUGUAGCGGUGAAAUGCGUAGAUAUCAGGAGGAACAUCGGUGGCGUAAGCGCUUUACUGGGCCGUAAUUGACACUGAGGAACGAAAGCCGGGGUAGCAAAUGGG